rnacentral:rRNA from 1 species
GACAGAGGGUGCAAACGUUGUUCGGAAUUACUGGGCGUAAAGCGCGUGUAGGCGGCCAUCUAAGUCGGGCGUGAAAUCCCACGCUCAACCGUGGAAGUGCACUCGAAACUGGAUGGCUAGAGUCCUGGAGAGGAAGGUGGAAUGCUUGGUGUAGAGGUGAAAUUCGUAGAUAUCAAGCGGAACACCGGUGGCGAAGGCGGC